AACGGUAGAGUAGCAAUACUUGAGAGUGGCGAACGGGUGAGUAAUAUAUCGGAACGUGCCCAGUCGUGGGGGAUAACGUAGCGAAAGCUACGCUAAUACCGCAUACGAUCUAUGGAUGAAAGCGGGGGAUCGCAAGACCUCGCGCGACUGGAGCGGCCGAUAUCAGAUUAGCUAGUUGGUGGGGUAAAAGCUCACCAAGGCGACGAUCUGUAGCUGGUCUGAGAGGACGACCAGCCACACUGGGACUGAGACACGGCCCAGACUCCUACGGGAGGCAGCAGUGGGGAAUUUUGGACAAUGGGCGAAAGCCUGAUCCAGCAAUGCCGCGUGCAGGAUGAAGGCCUUCGGGUUGUAAACUGCUUUUGUACGGAGCGAAACGGCUUCUCCUAAUACGGGGAGCUAAUGACGGUACCGUAAGAAUAAGCACCGGCUAACUACGUGCCAGCAGCCGCGGUAAUACGUAGGGUGCAAGCGUUAAUCGGAAUUACUGGGCGUAAAGCGUGCGCAGGCGGUUAUAUAAGACAGAUGUGAAAUCCCUGGGCUCAACCUAGGAACUGCAUCUGUGACUAUAUAGCUAGAGUACGGUAGAGGGGGAUGGAAUUCCGCGUGUAGCAGUGAAAUGCGCAGAUAUGCGGAGGAACACCGAUGGCGAAGGCAAUCCCCUGGACCUGUACUGACGCUCAUGCACGAAAGCGUGGGG
rnacentral:rRNA from 1 species